AUCUAAAUCCAUUAUUCCUACUUUUAGCGUGGGAACCAUCAGGCGAAAGUGAAAUACCACUACCUUUAACGUUAUUUUACUUAUUCCGUGAAUCGGAAGCAGGGCAACGCCCCUCUUUUUGGACCCAAGGCCCACCUCAGUGGGUCGAUCCAGGCAGAAGACAUUGUCAGGUUGGGGGUUUGGCUGGGGCGGCACAUCUGUUAAAAGACAGCGCAAGUGUCCUACGAUGAGCUCAACGAGAACAGAAAUCUCGUGUAGAAUAGAAAGGUAAAAGCUCGUUUGAUUCUGAUUUUCAGCAACACCCCGCUUGCGGUAUGCGCAUAUAAUGUAUAUAUGUGUAGGCCAUCGGGGGGCAAAA
rnacentral:lncRNA from 1 species